UACGAAGGGGGCUAGCGUUGCUCGGAAUCACUGGGCGUAAAGGGUGCGUAGGCGGGUCUUUAAGUCAGGGGUGAAAUCCUGGAGCUCAACUCCAGAACUGCCUUUGAUACUGGCGAUCUUGAGUCCGGGGAGAGGUGAGUGGAACUGCGAGUGUAGAGGUGAAAUUCGUAGAUAUUCGCAAGAACACCAGUGGCGAAGGCGGCUCACUGGCCCGAUACUGACGCUGAGGCACGAAAGCGUGGGAGCAAACAGGG
rnacentral:rRNA from 1 species